UUGUGGAGAGAUUUUAAAUGAGACAUGAAGAAUAAAAUGUUCUUGAUUAAAUAUCAACAUUUUAAUCGUUUUGGCUUAUUUUUCUGACGUAGACGUUUGUCGCAUAUGAUGUGUUCAAGGACUGUCGGAAAGAUGAAAACCUGACGAUAAUGACAGAUUUUACACUUUCUUUAAAGGUCAUUAGUGUCCCAUCGGCAGGUUUUUGGGUGUUCAGAGGGUUAACCUAUUAAUAAUCUGCAGCCAUGUUUUGUUUUAGUCAAAUAUCUUAAAAUGUUUCACGUUUUGAAAUGUUCUGAUCGAUUAAGAUCCAUCUGUGGUUUAAUGGAUCCAAACCACUCAGCCGCUUAAUGAACAGACUCCUUAUUGUGAACUGAAAUGGAUCGUCAGUGAUGUUUUACAUCACAAUACUCCACAUUUGUCUGAUGGCAGCUGAUUUGGUUCCUGCAGGUUUCCCCCCCUCAGCCUACGUGAUCCCUCCCCCGGUGGCGUUCCCGGGUCUCCAGGUGAACCCGGGCUUCGCCUUCUCCACCGGAGUGUCUGUCCCCGGUCCGUUCCUCCAGCCGGGCGUCCAUGCCCAAGCCGGCAGCCAGGCCGGGAAGCAGUCACACAUUCCCUACAGUCAGCAGAGGCCCUCCGGUCCGGGUCAGGGGCCCGGGACCUCGGUUCCCAUGAACCAGGGUCAGCAGAACCAGGCCAUGCAGCAGUCGGUCCAGCUGCAGGUGCAGGCGAUGAGCCAGCAGCAGCAGUCUCCCACCAAACCGGUCCAGCAGGUCGGGAUGGGGAAGAGUCCACCUCACCACCCGGGUCUGCAGCAGUACAUGCAGGUCCAGGAUCAGCCGGCUCAGAUGUGGAACCAGGGUCAGGCUGCUCUGCAGAAGAUGCAGAUGUCCAUGAAGCAGCCUCAGCAGCAGCAGACCUUCUACAUGGCGGCUCAGGAUCCUCUCAAACUGUAUGAGCACCAGCUGCAGCCGGCCAGCAUGGAGAAGAAGAUCAAGUACCCCAACGUCAAGAUGCAGGACUUCUACUGGGAGCCCACCUACAGGAUGGGGGACGGUCUGGCCGUGAUGGCGGACCGCAUGAAGAGGCCUCCGCCGGGCGGGAUCUGCUCCGAGCAAGACGGCUCCGGUGGUUCCCGGGGCCCCCCCCUUUGAGGACAACAAGCCUCUUCUACCUCCCGACCUGUUAAAAAGCCUAGCAGACUUUGAGGAGGAGGAGGAGCUCGUCUUUUCUAAGCCUCCUGAUUUCUUCCAGGCCUUGGCCGGCCCUCUUAGCUCUGCUCCUGGACCAAACAUAUUUCUGCCGAACCAGACCAGGAUGGAGAGCGGCCCCGAGAUCGUCUCGUCUCUUCUGCCCAUUUCUGGCUUCCCCAUGCAGGUCAGACCCGACAUCCAACGUUAGCUCAGCUUGUUCCUCUGAUAACUUAAGAUCCAGACGUCUGAUGCUAACG